GCAAGUGGCGCCAGGUUGCUUGACGUAUUGCACGCUAGAGGAGAGAAAAGCAGACGGGGAAAUACUUUAUAACGAAAUAUUUAAGUGGAAAAUGAAACAUGCUCCUAGCAAAAUUCACCAUUUUUCUGACGCUUUUUUAGACGAGCAAAUUAGAAGGGAUUUAAACUCCUGGAUCAGAAACAUAGAUGAGAGGACUUCAUGCCAAAGACUACAGAUCUUAUUUUCAUUUUCCGUCCCUUGUCAUGAGGCUCUUGAACAUAUAAUGAAAUUAAAAGUUCCCAUCAUCUCUGCAGGUGCUGGAAAUGGUUAUUGGGAGUUUCUACUCCAACAGCGAGGAGCAGACAUUGUGGCUUUUGAUCAAAACACUGUGUAUCCGACAGAUAUGAGAUACACAGAGAUCAUGGAAGGUGACCCAAGUAUUUUAUGUGAUUAUAAAGACAGAGCUUUACUGUUGAGCUGGCCUGAUCAUGCAGAGGAUUGUUCAUUUUCACUGGACUGUCUGAAAUACUACAGCGGAAAAACUAUCAUUCACAUCGGCGAACUCUUUGGCGAAACACUCUCCUCAAAUCCCUGGGGUCAAACUACCUCACGUGCUUUCCAACUUCGACUCGGGGAAACUUUUCGCUGCGUGUCACGUGUUCAGCUUCCAAACUGGCCUGGUCACAUGGAUUCAUUAACAGUUUGGUCACGUGCUCCAGAUGUCGUUGACUGUGACGGAGCUGAUAUGGUGUUUAUUCCUUUGGAGAACACGAGAUACUUUGGGUGGAGUGGCAAUUGAUGAUAUUUGCACUUCCUCAUUACUAGAUUGCACGCCCCUGAUCAUCAUCUGGCUACGAAUUCAUAAAAAUAUGGAAAGAGUUUUCUAGCACUGGACUUCACAGAGGCCUUGUCAAUAAAAUGUGUGGUCUCGGACAUAGUUUGAUGCUACUCUGGUUUAAAGAUUUAAUGAAUGUAACUGAAGAAGUUACAAUUCAUAGACCCAACAUUGUGGUCUCAUUAAGGCAGUGGUGGUAAACAAACAAGAAUGGAAGGAAGUGUAGAACUCGAAGCGUUGGCACUGUUAUGGGCGAUGAGUGAUUUACAUGACGAAGAUUUGUUAUUAUUUCGUAAGAAGAUGUAAAUUAUUUUCUCACGAAAAGGAUGUUGACAAACCCGUUUCAGGAAAAAAACGUAGUAAAGGAAGACAACAGAGCCGAGGUCUUACUGCGCGAAAAGUGCUGCUCUUUUUAAGAUUUCCUCCUUUCGGCGACUUCACCCAGGCAGAUCCAGGACUCCACGAAGGGGAACGAGCCAACAUCGAUGAACGACGGCUCGGGCUCGACAGUCGGGAUAGCUCGGAAAUGACCGACAUGCUUUCUUCAUCGUCCUCGGGUUGGAAGACACUUGCAGGAGCUGCAUUACCUUGGAAACAUAGCAUCUCCACUUGUUCGUGUAACGUGGAAGCGAGGUACACUGCACCAGGAGAGACCGCUGGACCAAGGACUCGUGGAUUUUGAAUUUCCAUAAACUUGUGCACGUACCGACUACAGUAAAACGAGAAAAAAGUGAAAAAGUGAAAAAGUGAAACGUUGAAAUUAUUACAAAUAAGUAAGGAAGAUUAAGUGCAAAGGUACCUGGGAUUUUCGGCGUUGAUCGGUGGGAUUUCACAAACGUCAAUUGAAUUAAAAUGAGUGACAAACA